UGGGGAAUAUUGGACAAUGGGGGCAACCCUGAUCCAGCAAUGCCGCGUGUGUGAAGAAGGUCUUCGGAUUGUAAAGCUCUGUCUUUUGGGACGAUAAUGACGGUACCAAAGGAGGAAGCCACGGCUAACUACGUGCCAGCAGCCGCGGUAAUACGUAGGUGGCGAGCGUUGUCCGGAUUUACUGGGCGUAAAGGGUGCGUAGGCGGAUGUUUAAGUGAGAUGUGAAAUACCCGGGCUUAACUUGGGUGCUGCAUUUCAAACUGGAUAUCUAGAGUGCAGGAGAGGAGAAUGGAAUUCCUAGUGUAGCGGUGAAAUGCGUAGAGAUUAGGAAGAACACCAGUGGCGAAGGCGAUUCUCUGGACUGUAACUGACGCUGAGGCACGAAAGCGUGGGUAGCAAACAGGAUUAGAUACCCUGGUAGUCCACGCCGUAAACGAUGAGUACUAGGUGUAGGAGGUAUCGACCCCUUCUGUGCCGCAGUAAA
rnacentral:rRNA from 1 species